rnacentral:rRNA from 1 species
GACGAACCGAGCGAACGUUGUUCGGAAUCACUGGGCUUAAAGGGCGCGUAGGCGGGUUCGCAAGUCUGUGGUGAAAUCCUCCGGCUCAACCGGAGAACUGCCUCGGAUACUGCGGGUCUCGAGGGUGAUAGGGGUAUGCGGAACUAUCGGUGGAGCGGUGAAAUGCGUUGAUAUCGAUAGGAACUCCGGUGGCGAAGGCGGCAUACUGGAUCACUUUCUGACGCUGAGGCGCGAAAGCCAGGGGAGCAAACGGG